GACGAACGCUGGCGGCGUGCUUAACACAUGCAAGUCGAACGGAAAGGCCCUACUUUUGUGGUGUUCUCGGGUGGCGAACGGGUGAGUAACACGUGAGUAACCUGCCCUUCACUUUGGUAUAACUUCAGGAAACUGGGGCUAAUACCGGAUAGCAGCUCCCGCUGCAUUGUGGGCGUUGGAUCUUUUCUGCGGGUGGGGAUGGACUCGCGGCUUAUCAGCUUGUUGGUUGGGUAGUGGCUUACCAAGGCUUUGACGGGUCGGCGGCCUGAGAGGGGGAACGGCCACAUGGGGACUGAGAUACGGCGCAGACUCGUACGGGAGGCAGCAGGGGGGAGUAUUGCACAAUGGGAGGAAGCCUGAGGCAGCAACGCCGCGUGCGGGAUGACGGCCUUCGGGUUGUAAACAGCAUUCGCCUGUGACGAAGCGGGAGUGACGGUAAUGGGUAAAGAAGCACCGGCUAACUACGUG
rnacentral:rRNA from 1 species